rnacentral:rRNA from 1 species
UACAGAGGGGGCCAGCGUUGUUCGGAAUUCCUGGGCGUAAAGGGCGCUUAGGCGGCCUUCUAAGUCGAACGUGAAAUCCCCGGGCUCAACCCGGGAACUGCGUCCGAUACUGGAAGGCUUGAAUCCGGGAGAGGGAUGCGGAAUUCCAGGUGUAGCGGUGAAAUGCGUAGAUAUCUGGAGGAACACCGGUGGCGAAGGCGGCAUCCUGGACCGGUAUUGACGCUGAGGCGCGAAAGCCAGGGGAGCAAACGGG